UGGGGAAUUUUGGACAAUGGGCGCAAGCCUGAUCCAGCCAUGCCGCGUGCGGGAAGAAGGCCUUCGGGUUGUAAACCGCUUUUGUCCGGGAAGAAAGGGCCCAGGUGAAUAACUUGGGUUGUUGCCGGUACCGGGAGAAUAAGCACCGGCUAACUACGUGCCAGCAGCCGCGGUAAUACGUAGGGUGCGAGCGUUAAUCGGAAUUACUGGGCGUAAAGCGUGCGCAGGCGGUUCGUUGUGUCCGAUGUGAAAGCCCCGGGCUUAACCUGGGAACGGCAUUGGAAACUGGCGGGCUGGAGUGCGGCAGAGGGGGGUGGAAUUCCGCGUGUAGCAGUGAAAUGCGUAGAGAUGCGGAGGAACACCGAUGGCGAAGGCAGCCCCCUGUGCCGACACUGACGCUCAGGCACGAAAGCGUGGGGAGCAAACAGG
rnacentral:rRNA from 1 species